rnacentral:rRNA from 1 species
UGCCAGCCGCCGCGGUAAUACGAAGGGGGCAAGCGUUGUUCGGAUUUACUGGGCGUAAAGGGCACGCAGGCGGACUAAUAAGUCGACUGUGAAAUCUGUGGGCUCAACCUACAGCCUGCAGUCGAAACUAUUAAUCUUGAGUACGGAAGAGGAGAGCGGAAUCAGAGGUGUAGCGGUGAAAUGCGUAGAUAUCUCUGAGAACACCGGUGGCGAAGGCGGCUCUCUGGUCUGAUACUGACGCUGAGGUGCGAAAGCUAGGGGAGCGAACGGGAUUAGAUA